rnacentral:rRNA from 1 species
CCAUAAGAUGGGAUAACUCCGGGAAACCGGGGCUAAUACCGGAUAACAUUUUGAACCGCAUGGUUCGAAAUUGAAAGGCGGCUUCGGCUGUCACUUAUGGAUGGACCCGCGUCGCAUUAGCUAGUUGGUGAGGUAACGGCUCACCAAGGCAACGAUGCGUAGCCGACCUGAGAGGGUGAUCGGCCACACUGGGACUGAGACACGGCCCAGACUCCUACGGGAGGCAGCAGUAGGGAAUCUUCCGCAAUGGACGAAAGUCUGACGGAGCAACGCCGCGUGAGUGAUGAAGGCUUUCGGGUCGUAAAACUCUGUUGUUAGGGAAGAACAAGUGCUAGUUGAAUAAGCUGGCACCUUGACGGUACCUAACCAGAAAGCCACGGCUAACUACGUGCCAGCAGCCGCGGUAAUACGUAGGUGGCAAGCGUUAUCCGGAAUUAUUGGGCGUAAAGCGCGCGCAGGUGGUUUCUUAAGUCUGAUGUGAAAGCCCACGGCUCAACCGUGGAGGGUCAUUGGAAACUGGGAGACUUGAGUGCAGAAGAGGAAAGUGGAAUUCCAUGUGUA